rnacentral:rRNA from 1 species
GAUUCUGGCUCAGGAUGAACGCUAGCUACAGGCUUAACACAUGCAAGUCGAGGGGCAGCAGUUGGAGUAGCAAUACUCAGAUGGCGACCGGCGCACGGGUGAGUAACACGUAUCCAACCUGCCGCCUACUCGGGGAUAGCCUUUCGAAAGAAAGAUUAAUACCCGAUGGUAUAAAGAGUUCGCAUGUUCUCUUUAUUAAAGAAUUUCGGUAAGCGAUGGGGAUGCGUUCCAUUAGAUAGUUGGCGGGGUAACGGCCCACCAAGUCUACGAUGGAUAGGGGUUCUGAGAGGAAGGUCCCCCACAUUGGAACUGAGACACGGUCCAAACUCCUACGGGAGGCAGCAGUGAGGAAUAUUGGUCAAUGGACGCGAGUCUGAACCAGCCAAAGUAGCGUGAAGGAUGACUGCCCUAUGGGUUGUAAACUUCUUUUAUAAGGGAAUAAAGUGAGGGACGUGUCCCUUUUUGUAUGUACCUUAUGAAUAAGGAUCGGCUAACUCCGUGCCAGCCGCCGC